rnacentral:misc_RNA from 1 species
GCCUUCCUUCUUAAUUUUUACGGCCAUUCGAAGUGAGAAGCUGAGAGUGAAUGUUCUGUGAAACUUGCAGUAGCAGGGGAUUUUCUGUAGCCAGCAGAUCAUCUAAAUCAACCUCACCUUCGCCAGAGUCGAUUUUUGCAGAGGUAUCAAUAUAUAAUUCAGCUAACUUUAUGCAUCUCUCUCUCCCUCCUUCUUCUAAGGGUUUGAAGAUUUAUUAGCUGAAAACAUCAGCAAUAAUUACUUUUAUGAAAAAGACAAAGACAUAUCUCUCAGAAUUAUCCACCUCCUGACCUUCUCUUUAACUUUCUUCUCUCUUGCUCUCUCCCUAUAUCCUGCAAUGCCUUUCCUUUCCUGGCCAUAACUAUAAGAAGACAAAUGGUGGGUGCACCGAAGAAACAUUUCCUCCCUCUAAUCUUCCUUCUAUCCCUAUUUGUGCUCUUCUUUUUUUCCCAUUAUCAUUCUCCUCUUCCCAUCACCCAUUUAAGCUCUAAUCCUAACCCUAAUUUUAGUCCAACAAAUAAUGAUAACAAACCACUCAGUCCCCAAAACACCCCCACAUUCACUUUCCUCAUCAAAGUCCUUGCAUUCAACCGCCUGGACUCGCUCUCCCGCUGCCUUCGUUCCCUUGCCAAUGCUAAGUAUGAUGGUGACACUGUCCAUCUCCAUGUAUACAUUGAUCAUUUUCCAUUUGCCAAUGAAUCAUUUAAUGUCUUGGAUCAACAACUGGAGAACUCGCAUAAGAUUUUGGAGUUUGUUGAUGGAUUCCAUUGGAUUUUUGGAAACAAGGUAGUGCAUUACCGGAAUGGGAACAUGGGGCUGCAGGCACAGUGGCUGGAGGCAUGGUGGCCAAGUUCUGAUGACGAGUUUGCAUUUGUUGUGGAGGAUGAUCUUGAGGUUUCUCCACUGUUUUAUAAGUUUGUUAAGGCUGUGAUUCUUAAUUAUUACUACAAUGGUAACAGCUCUAGUCCUUCAAUCUAUGGCGUCUCGCUUCAGCGUCCAAGGUUUGUCCCAGGUAAACACGGAAACAAAAUACAAUUAGGUCCUGGAACACGGAUUUUCUUGUACCAGUUGGUUGGCACUUGGGGUCAGAUUCUCUUUCCAAAACCUUGGAAAGAGUUCAGACUGUGGUAUGACCAGCAUAAGGCCAAAGGCAUGAAGCCAUUUCUCAAUGGAAUGGUAACAACUGGAUGGUAUAGAAGAAUGGGAGAAAGGAUCUGGACUCCUUGGUUCAUUAAAUUUAUUCAUUAUAGUGGCUAUUUUAAUAUCUACACCAAUUUUGGCCAUGAGAGAGCACUCAGCGUCUCUCACAGAGAUGCUGGUGUUAAUUAUGGGAAAACAGCUGGACCAGACUCCCAAUUAGUGGAUGAAAGAUCUUUUGACUACAAUUUUUUGGAAAUGGAACCUUUGAGUAAUUUGAAAUGGUAUGAUUUCUGUUUUAGGGAAGUACUUCCUGGAAGAGUCGUAAGGAGUCUGGGUGAUCUUGAGUCUGUUCUUUGGUCUCUGCAGAAACAGCAGACUGUUUUGCUUGUGAACAUAUUUGGGACAUCAGAAACAAUCACGAGGAAUCUGUUAUGCCACUUUGAGAAUCUAAACAUUCAGAACUAUGUAAUUAUGGGUCCUCAUUCUGAUUUUCUUUAUGAUCUUGCUAGAAGGGGACAUCCUGUUAUUGAUUCCAGCCAGCUUCUUGAUGAUAUGAGAGCACAGAAAGUAAUCAGAUUUCAAGAUUCCAGCACAAAACUGGUUGACGUAUUGGUGAAAGCUUAUGUUACAAAGAAGUGUUUGGAAUACAAGUAUGAUUCCUGGAUAGUAGACACAAACAUACUUUUUGUCAAUAAUGAUUUAUUUCAUGAGUUCAUCAAAACAUGUAAUUAUGACUUUUGUGCUGGGAAAAGCUUGGAGAUUUUCUUUGUCAGGAGCUCAUCUUCUGCUAAAAAAAUUUGGACUGAUGGUUUCUUGAACAAGGUUGCUGCUGCAGUUGGUCAGGCUUCAUUGCCCAGAGAGAGUAGAAACUUUGUUCAAUUUGUGGAAAAGUUGUUGCAAGAGAAUGGUGCAAGAAUUAACCGGGUUGAUGAGACAAGCUUUGGCAUGAAGAUUAGUGCCAAUAGCGUUAAUCAAUCCUCUUUGGAGGCUGCGAAGAUGGUUUAUUGGUCUAUGGAUAUGGGUCUGAAUUUAGUUCAAAAGCCGCUUGAAGGAUUGGGUAUGUGGGCUCUUGAUGGUGACUCUUCCUGCAAGGCUGUUGUUUGCCACCAAUCAUAGCCUUUGAUGGUGGACUUUUUUUUGUUUUUUUUUUUGUAAGCUUUACCCAUUUUGAUCUACAAUUGUUUCUGUAUCAUCUGUUGAAGCAUUAGUAUGUUAUUUUAGUUUUUCAUGGUAAAUUUUUUAGCGAU